ensembl:lncRNA
CAAGCCCCCACCCCGGCAAGCCACAGCCUCUGGGGUCGAACCUUCCAAGGAGCCCUGGGGACAGGUGUCUACUUCAGGAGCCCAGAGGGUGAGGCCUGUCCACCUGGGAAGCUGUAACCCUGCCUGGCACCAGGUGGGCUUCAGACUUCAGAAAGUAACUUCAGUGUCAAGAAUUGAAGCUGAGGGACUUCCCUGGUAGCCCAGUGGUGAAGAGCCACCUUGUCAUGCAGGGAACUCGGGUUGGACCCCUGGUUGGGGAACUGAACUCCCACAUGCUUUGGAGUAACUAAGCCGCCUGCCACAAUGAAAGAUCCCACGUGACACAAGGGAGACCCCAUGAGCUGCAGACCCAAUGCAGGCAAGUAAAUUAAAAAGAGAACUGAAGCUGAAUGAAUUUUCCGAUUGAUACCCUCAAUUGACGGAGGCCACCAGACCACCUCUGGGUGUUCUUAGGCAGGUUCCUCCAGCUCUCUGAGCCUCUCUUUCCUCAUAUAUCAGGUAACAGAAAUGAUAGUACCAAUUUCGUAGUUUCUUUUCUAAGAGGACUGAAUGAGAGGAUGCCUACAAAGCACUUGGCUGCAGUUGGCACAUAGCAAAAUGCUUAAUAAAUGUUUCCUAUUAGUGAUAAUAGUUCUCAGAAUAUGUCAAUUAAAAACCACCUGAGGGCCUUGCCUGGUGGUCCAGUGGCUGGAGCUCUGAGCUUCCAGUGUAGGGGGCCUGGGUUCGAUCCCUGGUCGGGGCACUAGCUCCCACAUGCCACAAAUGAAGAUCCUGUAUGCUGACAUGAAGAGAGGAGAUCCCAAAUGCCACAGCCAAGACCCAGUGCAGCCAAAUAAAUAAAUAAAUAUUUUUUAAAAACACCAAACACUUGAAAGAUUUCUUCUUGGGGGCCACAGCUCCUUGGAGAUGUGAAGUUGUAAGCCUCUCACUAGCAUGGGACAAAGAAUUGUUACAAUGAGGCAGAGACUCUGAGGCCCAGACAUUUAGCUGCUGAAGCACAGUAACACAGGAGCCUAGGGCAGGGUGCCGAAGUGGGAACAGAGUUGGCUUUUAUUCAGGUGCUCUGUGAUGCUUUGAGAGUUAUUCCUGCAGCAAAUGGUAACCGCGGAUCAGCACUGAUACCCAGCUGAGCUCAAGUGGGCCUGUCUUGUGGAAGCUUCUGAUAUGAUGGGAAAUGAAAUUUGCAUGUGAUGAUGCUAAGAGGUUGGAGAAGGACAUGGGAACUCACUCCAGUAUUCCUGCCUGGAGAAUCCCAUAGACAGGAGCUGGUGGGCUACAGUCCGUGGAAUCGCAAAGAGUCAGACAUGACUGAAGUCACUUUGCAUGCAUGCAUGCAUGAUAAGAGACCCUGACUUCCCCACUCUGGACCAGGCUGUGGCCUCCAGGCCUGACCGAGGACCAGCUGGACUUUGGGAAGGCAAGUCGCUUCUCUGGCUCCUUGAACCCUGGUAUCGGGUCCAGAGUGGCGUGUCUGUGGGGUGCCCGAGCACAAAGCCUGCAGCUUUGCUCUGAGUCUCAGGGGCCCCUGGGUACCAGCCCUGGGCCUGGGGCAUACGUGUGGCUGAAGCUCCUGGGGAGGGGAUCUGCUUAUCCUGGAGCCAGAGGGUGGGAGCCUGAAGAGGCAGUUCCAAGACUCGUUGUUUCAGGAGAAAGCCCUCCAGCCCGCACUCCCCUGGUCGCCAGCUGUCCCCUGCCACUGGUCAAGCUCAGGGACACUCACACCCCUCCCACACCCUGCAGGACUUUGUGUACAGACAUGCAGCUGGCCUUGGCCACACAAUCACACGCACACUUGCUGGGCUCUGUGGCCCCUAGAGCCCAGGGAGGCCUGGUGGCCGCGGUGAAAAUAACUCAAGCAAGCUGGUCACUGAGGAGCAGGCCUUGGCUCGUGCGGGUGCUGCUCUGCCCACAAACACGUAUGCACACCUACAUACAGCCAGAGGCUUGCUCCCUGCUGCUGCUGUGGGGAUUCUUCCUCUUGGCUUUGACCGUGUCUCAUCACCCCCUCCCCAGAGCUGGGCUCUGCCGGGAGACCGCCUCAUGCCUGGCCCAUGGAGAAGACCUGCCCAGCGUUCUUGAUGUAGGAGAUGGGCCUUUUGCUGGAGGCCCCGCUGGCCCCAUGUUGGGCGCGACAGGCCUAGGCCCUGUGACUGGCACGGGCUGCUCCGCCCUCACCUUGGCACCUGCCCAGCAGCACCUGUGCCUACCGAGGACUUGCCCCCCCUUACCUCGGAGGUGGAGAGACAGACAAGGAAGUGGGGAGAGGCUGCUUCAGGGAGCUGGGCACACCCCCCCCAACCCUGCCUCCUUUGAGACUGCCCCCUGGGAAGCCUGUGCGUUCUUAGAUAGGACCUUCAGGGCCGUUUUCUCCAACUGCCAAGAGAAGGCAAGUGUCUUGCCGAAGGUCACACAGCAAGUCCAUGGCACAGCUGACCAGACUUACACCAGAACUCUGGGGGCCCCGUGUGUGCAUGGUAGGGGUGUGGAGGGGCAGCAGGCGGGAGGGAGGAGGUGGGGCUGGGUUCCCAAUGAG